UCACAUAGGAGUUGAAUCAGCUGCCCAAGGAAAUAAGAAAUGACAAAGCACUCAAAGAAGGCAUCUUCACCAAGGUAAUUGGCAAUGAUACCCAUGGUUGAGUGCAUCUAUAUACUCAGAGUUGGAGUAAAGCCCAAAGGACUUUAUGCUAACAAAAAAUGUGCCAUAACACAAAGAUGCAGUGUCAAGUGGCGGAGUUGAAGCAAGAAAUGGCAAAAGAAAGAAUAUGAAGGAAGAGUUAGGAAGAAUUGGCAGAAGAAAGAAACCAAAUGAAGGAAGAGUUGGCAGAAGAAAGAAACUGGAUGAAGCAAGAGAUGGAAGAAGAAAAGAAGAAGAAUGCAACAGCUCUUUCCAGUAUGCAAUCACAGCUAGACAAUCUUACACAACCCAUGAUGAAUAGAAGCUCACAGGAUUCAAUUAAUUUUGGUUAAUGAGGCGAUUGCACAAGCUGUCUUGCACUCAUCUAAUCUUAUUCUACAGGUAAUGAGUUUCUUGAAUUUCACAAUCUGAAUUGUAUUAAUCUCUCUCUCUCUCUCUCUCUCUCUCACUGGCACCAUUCAAUUGGCUGUGAUGGAUAUAUAAUGGAGUAGUUCCACAGUUUCAUCAUAUCCUAUCUAUCUAGGAAAUUAUCUUUUAAUUUGGUUAAGAGAUGUGAUAAAGGUCUAUUUGCCUCACCCCUCUUUAAAUUGAGCAAUUAUGUGAUGCUUGAUUUGUAUGUCAUUUGUUGUAAGUUAUGUUCUCUUGUUACAAUGUUGCCCAGCUUUGUGACCCCAAGUAGCUAGAACUUGAGGUAACAUUGGUGUUCAAAGCUAUAUUUUUAUUCCUAUACUAACUUACAUUUGAUUCGUUGGAUUGAUUGUGUGUUGGCAUCUAUUGCAGUUGCUGUUUUUAUUGUGCUGAUAGGAGUGGGGCUGGUAGCAGCAAACAGGAACAAAAAGGCUUUUCUUUGGUGCAUGGUUUGAACAGAUGAUGAAGCAGGCCCGUGGCCGAACAUGGGAAGUUGUCCUUUGUGAGAAAUAACAGAGGGAUGUUUGAGUUGCAAGACUUGCUUAGAGCCUCAACUGAAGUGUUGCGCAGUGGAUCUUUUUGGGUCUUCUUAUAAGGCUGUUUUGACUAUUAGGAAAGUCAUGGUUGUGAAGAAGUUCAGGCAUAUGAACAAAGUGGGUAGGAAAGAUUUUCAAGAGCACAUGAGAAAGCUUGGGAGAUUGAG